rnacentral:rRNA from 1 species
AUGCAAGUCGAGGGGUAACAGGAGUGCUUGCACUCGCUGACGACCGGCGCACGGGUGCGUAACGCGUAUAGAACCUACCUUUUACAGAGGGAUAGCCUUUAGAAAUGAAGAUUAAUACCUCAUAGUAUUGAGAGUUGGCAUCAACUUUUAAUUAAAGAUUUAUCGGUAAAAGAUGGCUAUGCGUCCUAUUAGCUAGAUGGUAAGGUAACGGCUUACCAUGGCUAUGAUAGGUAGGGGUCCUGAGAGGGAGAUCCCCCACACUGGUACUGAGACACGGACCAGACUCCUACGGGAGGCAGCAGUGAGGAAUAUUGGACAAUGGGUGAGAGCCUGAUCCAGCCAUGCCGCGUGCAGGAAGACUGCCCUAUGGGUUGUAAACUGCUUUUAUACAGGAAGAAACACUCGGACGUGUCCGAGCUUGACGGUACUGUAAGAAUAAGCACCGGCUAACUCCGUGCCAGCAGCCGCGGUAAUACGGAGGGUGCAAGCGUUAUCCGGAAUCAUUGGGUUUAAAGGGUCCGCAGGCGGUCAAUUAAGUCAGAGGUGAAAUCCCAUAGCUUAACUAUGGAACUGCCUUUGAUACUGGUUGACUUGAGUUAUACGGAAGUAGAUAGAAUGUGUAGUGUAGCGGUGAAAUGCAUAGAUAUUACACAGAAUACCGAUUGCGAAGGCAGUCUACUACGUAUAUACUGACGCUCAUGGACGAAAGCGUGGGGAGCGAACAGGAUUAGAUACCCUGGUAGUCCACGCCGUAAACGAUGGACACUAGCUGUUCGAUCAACAUUGGUUGGUUGAGUGGCUAAGCGAAAGUGAUAAGUAUCCCACCUGGGGAGUACGCUCGCAAGAGUGAAACUCAAAAGGAAUUGACAGGGGCCCGCACAAGCGGUGGAGCAUGUGGGUUUAAUUCGAUGCAACGCGAAGAACCUUACCUACUCUUGACAUCCAGAGAACUUUCCAGAGAUGGAUUGUGCCUUCGGGAACUCUGAGACAGGUGCUGCAUGCUGUCGUCAGCUCGUGUGUGAAAUGUGGUAGGUCCCGCACGAGCGCAACCCUUAUCCUUGUUUGCCAGCACUUCGGUGGAACCUCCAG